rnacentral:rRNA from 1 species
UACGGAGGGUGCGAGCGUUAAUCGGAAUUACUGGGCGUAAAGCGCACGCAGGCGGUUUGUUAAGCAAGAUGUGGAAGCCCCGGGCUCAACCUGGGAACUGCAUUUUGAACUGGCAGACUAGAGUCUUGGAGAGGGGGGGUGGAAUUGCCAGGUGUAGCGGUGAAAUGCGUAGAGAUCUGGAGGAACAUCAGUGGCGAAGGACGGCCCCCUGGCCGAAAAGCACGUCGACGCUCAUGUGCGAAAGUGUAGGG